GUUUUUCCCCACAGCUGAGGAGUGCAUUGAUUACUAUAACCAGAAAAGAUGUGUAGAUGGGAAGGGUCUCAUUCUCCCUGGCCAGAUUGUUAGUCAAAAAUUUGCACGAACUGUUUUUCUGAAUAAAAGUCUUAUUUAUAUAUGUGAUCUAACAAAUUUUCAUUUUUUGCCUUUCCAUAGAGGUAUGUGAAGUACUUUGAGCGCAUUUUAACGCACUUCAAUGGUGAAACUCCGCCUGGACGUAGGUACUCUUCAGAUUAGUUACUUAAAAAAUACAAAGUAUUGAGCCAUCAAGGUACUGAAAAGCUACUAUAUUGCAGGUGCAUGCUGAGGGGAUUUCGACUCCACAAGUGUCCUUAUUGGAUCAGACCUGCCAUUACCAUAUCUAAUCAUAGUGGUAAGUACUGGGUUGAGCCUCAUGCUAACUUUGCCACAGUGAGAAGCAGUAUUUUGUUACUGUUCUGGUGAUUCGUUAAUUUAUUCGGUUUGAGAAGUCACCUACAUUUGGUUGACGUUGCUUUAUUUAUUCGUUUAAUUAGUGUCUGUACAAUUACCAUAUAUGCCAGGCGAUGUACUUCAGUUUUACUGUCUCUCAAAAGUAGCAUCUCUCAUGUGAUAAAUUUUAGUUUGGGGAAUAUCAUCAUCCAAAACCAAAUAUGGUUUAGGAUUACUGCCAGAUAUAGAACUUUAUAUAUUAAUGCAAACCAAUGAAAUUAUUAUCAUUGGCUUUUUUAAUAUCUUGUCUGAAGUUGGGAGUCAAAGGAAAAGUAAUUACAUGAUACCAUUGCAUUUGUGGCAAGUCCCUGUCAGUCAUGCAAACCAGGAAAAGGGCUUUUUACCCAAUAGCUUGAACAUGACUAUUAACAUCUGAUUUCAAUACGGAGCUUGAUUUAGAGUUAUUUCAUCUUUGAGUGAGAGAGAGGGAUUGGUCUUUACAAUUGCUGCACAUGUGAGCGAGAGGGAUGGGUCUUUCUCUAAACUUCCAAGAUAAAUAAAAAAUUAUACAUGUCACUAGUAGUAUUAGGGUCUGCUUCGUGUGAGAUAUUCACUUUCAUGCAGCCAGAGGCAACCAGCACUUCUUGCUUACUUUUGAAGAUCAAUGAGAGCCCUAUGGAAAAUAGCAGUUGAAUUUCUAGAAGAUUAUUAUGUCAGUAGCAAUCUCUUAUAUGUGGAGUAUAGAGAACAAAAAGGUUCAGAAAGUUUUAGACCUUGCUAGCUGCAAGAAUAGAAACUUUCUUUAUGAGCAAAAUGUGACUUCUGACUCUUUAAGCUAUCCUUUUUUGAAUUUUAAACCAGUUUUGCUGAACUGACGAAAGUAUUUACUUGUCUGCAGGAGUUUUAUUUUCCACUAAAAAGCAUCCGAAAACAAAGGACCUAAUGGUAUUCUAUAUCAUCUGUCACUUCAUUACUGCCUCAUUUUUACAAGUAAAUGUAUUUGAUUGGCUGUGCUGACUACUCGAGAGUUAUUCUCUUUUUCAUUAAUUGAGUUUAAUUUAUGAUCUAUUUGAAAAUUUUGUAUGGGGCUACAAAACCAUUUAAUUUUUUGCGUUUCUUCUUGUAGCCAGAAGACUUCUGGUUGCGUGCAGCAAAAAAGGGAAUUGUGGUCUUUGCUCUACCAGGGGAGCCAGGUUUAACAGAAUUGGCGGGGGAUUUCAAAAUCCACUUUCAGGAUCGCCAAGGAGACUUCUAUUGGUGUGUAAACUGUCCUGGUAUCUGCUUCUUUUUAGUGCAUGUCCAAUUGCAGUAGCAUCCCAUCACGCUUGUUGAUUUUUCUCUGAAAUAUGUUGCCUAAAUAUGUAUGCAUUUGCUCAUGAUCCAGUAGCAUCUGAUUGCGCGUGCAGCAUGACCAUCAUAGAAAUAUUAUCUGUGGUAUUUUUAAUUAAUUUCCUAGAGGAGAGCAAGAGGAGUUUCAAGGAUAUCAAGUGCGCAUCCUUUAAAACAUUGUGAAGUGUUUGAUAAAUUCUUAGUCUUCAUGAGCUUUGAUUAAAUUUGAAGCAUACAUUAAGACUCUUGACAAAUUUAUAUUUUCUUUAGUUUCAUAUUUCACCUUCUUUUUUUGGUGGUAAGCUGUUUCUCCUUCUUUCAGUUGGUUGAAUACGACAAUGAUGGAAAAUAGAGUGCUUUUGGAUUCCUCUGAUCUUGAUGGCUUUGAUAAGGUAAAUCAAAUACUUUUGUUUGUUUAUAUAAGCAAACUCUCAAUUGUAAGUCAUUCAUCUUUCUCAUCUUUUCUUUUCAUUUUUUCCAAGAUUUUGCUCUUACUGUAACACAGUUUCACCUUUUUGUAGCUUUAUUUGUUUCUCAGCGCCUUUUAGUCGUUCUUCUUUAAUUUCAUCCUUUUCGUUUUUGGGUAAAAUAGAACUUUAAUUUAAUUUCUUGCUGUUAACAAACAUCUGGCACUCCACAGAGGAAAUUGCCUUCUCCAGGUUUUCAGGUUGAGAUUGUGAUGAUAGACUAUGAUGGUACAAUAUCAUCCAAAUUUAAAGCUGAUCAAGUGGCAAAGGGGUCUGAUGGACGAGUAGGAAGUCAAGCAUCAUCAAGUGAUAGGAAUGACGCGAACACUGCUCAAGUCGAGGUUACACCAAAACGAGAUAAUGAUGACGAUGUUUUUUCAGAUAGUGAUGGAGAGGGGUCUGUACCCUCAAGAAGAAGUGUAGAUAACACAUCAUCUGCAGUGGGAACUACUUCACCUCUUGAAUCAGGUAGCAAAGAUAACCAAAUUACAUCCUUCACCGAUCAGACCAAACAACUCUCAUUGGGGAGCAAGGAGUCCGCACCUUUUCAGACCAAUACGUCAAAAGAAACGAAAUUUGAUGUUGUUGAGAGGGUUGACUCUAUUCCAAACCUAGGUUCUGGUGAUAUUAAAGCUAUUGCAGCAGAUGCUUCUGUUUUCAGUUU
rnacentral:lncRNA from 1 species